GUAAGGAAUAUUGGACAAUGGGGGCAACCCUGAUCCAGCCAUGCCGCGUGAAGGAUGAAGGCGCUCUGCGUCGUAAACUUCUUUUAGUUGGGAAAAAUUCCCCGAUUUCUAUCGGGGUUGAUUGUACCAAAAGAAUAAGGACCGGCUAACUUCGUGCCAGCAGCCGCGGUAAUACGAAGGGUCCAAGCGUUAUCCGGAUUUAUUGGGUUUAAAGGGUGCGUAGGCGGGUUGUUAAGUCAGUGGUGAAAUCUUGCAGCUUAACUGUAAAAUUGCCAUUGAUACUGACGAUCUUGAGUACAUUUGAAGUGGGCGGAAUAUGUCAUGUAGAGGUGAAAUUCUUAGAGAUGACAUAGAACACCGAUUGCGAAGGCAGCUCACUAAACUGUAACUGACGCUGAGGCACGAAAGCGUGGGGAUCAAACAGGAUUAGAUACCCCGGUAGUCC
rnacentral:rRNA from 1 species